rnacentral:misc_RNA from 1 species
AUUACACUCUAUUAUAGUAUUUUUGAAUAUACAAUAUUAAUCAUUCAAAAUAUACAGUGAAUUAGAAAUAUAUAAAGAAUAAAUGUAAUUAAAUAAUGUAUUGAAUUAAUAAUAAUUACCCCCUCAACAAUAAUUUUCUGGCUUCGCCCCUAGCCACAGACUCGUAUAGAAAGGGAAACCUAGGAUUCAAAUUUUAGAUUUUUUUUCACCAAAGUCAAAGAAACUCUCGUACCAUUUUGAAAAAUUAUUUAACCGAAAAGUUUAAACUUGGAAGUGAUAAUAAGUUUAGUAUCUCUAAUAAGUAAAAACUUUGAGGUGUUGAGAAGUCAAUGAACUUUCUUUCUUUGAAAAGCAAAGCUUGAGUGCUUUUAGGCUUCUAGUCUUGUGGUUGGAAGCAGGAGAAUGUGAAUUUGGAUAAGCAUGCUAUUGUUAUCUUCUGAUUGAAAGUGCUACUAGGAACUGGACUGAUUCUAGUAAAACUCAUCCCUCCUUUUAUCCUUAUUUUCUAGUUUGUACCUUAAUAAUGUGGAAAUUGUCAACACUAGAAAAAUCUUCAAUUAUGUGUAUGAAUGUAUUUCUUUCUCCCCAAUUGAUACCUGCAACUGGUGCUGCAUGCAUUCAGGUGAUCCUUUGAAGAUGAUGA